AGAACAUUAAAAUAUGCCAAAGUAAAUGUGAUUCCCUUGAUUCGAUGCGAUAUACCAAAAGCAACCAUUGAGAAAGAACGUUUGACGGGUACACUUUUUUGUGGCACAGUGAGUCCAACACCUGGCUUGCGGCAUUACGGAACUUGCAUUGGUGACAGUGGUGGUCCUCUUGUUAAAGAUGGACAAGUCAUUGGAAUCUUGAGUAAGGGCACGAUUGAUUGUGAUGAGUCACGGAUGCCAGC